AAUAAUUAUUGUUAUAAUAAUAAUAAGUAUGAGCUCCGAUGGAAACUCUGGAGGUUCUGGGCGACCAAAUAAAGGAACAUCUUUCAUGGCUACAGUAGCAACAGUGUUUGGAGUGGUGGCUCUGGCGCGUGAGUUAUGGAAUCUAGCCAGCCCGACAGAAGAGCCACCAACGGAGGAGAUGAUGAAAGCACCAGGAAAAAUAGAUACAUAUAUUCCUAGAAAAGACUUUGAGGAUAACUGUUGG
rnacentral:lncRNA from 1 species